CCUACGGGAGGCUGCAGUGGGGAAUAUUGCACAAUGGGGGAAACCCUGAUGCAGCGACGCCGCGUGAAGGAUGAAGUAUUUCGGUAUGUAAACUUCUAUCAGCAGGGAAGAAAAUGACGGUACCUGACUAAGAAGCCCCGGCUAACUACGUGCCAGCAGCCGCGGUAAUACGUAGGGGGCAAGCGUUAUCCGGAUGUACUGGGUGUAAAGGGAGCGUAGACGGUAUGGCAAGUCUGAUGUGAAAACCCGGGGCUCAACCCCGGGACUGCAUUGGAAACUGCCGAACUAGAGUGUCGGAGAGGCGAGUGGAAUUCCUAGUGUAGCGGUGAAAGGCGUAGAUAUUAGGAGGAACACCAGUGGCGAAGGCGGCUUGCUGGGCGAUGACUGACGUUGAGGCGCGAAAGCAUGGGGAGCGAACAGGAUUAGAUACCCGAGUAGUC
rnacentral:rRNA from 1 species